AUUCCUACGGGAGGCAGCAGUGGGGAAUAUUGCACAAUGGGGGAAACCCUGAUGCAGCAACGCCGCGUGAGUGAAGAAGUAUUUCGGUAUGUAAAGCUCUAUCAGCAGGGAAGAAGAAAGACGGUACCUGACUAAGAAGCCCCGGCUAACUACGUGCCAGCAGCCGCGGUAAUACGUAGGGGGCAAGCGUUAUCCGGAUUUACUGGGUGUAAAGGGAGCGUAGACGGCUGUGCAAGUCUGAAGUGAAAUGCCGGGGCCCAACCCCCGGACUGCUCUGGAAACUGUAAAGCUGGAGUGCAGGAGAG
rnacentral:rRNA from 1 species